UACGUAGGCAGCGAGCGUUGUUCGGAGUUACUGGGCGUAAAGCGUGCGUAGGCGGUUGUCUAAGUCUGGUGUGAAAUCUCCCGGCUCAACUGGGAGGGUGCGCCGGAAACUGGAUGACUGGAGUGCCGGAGAGGUAAGCGGAAUUCCUGGUGUAGCGGUGAAAUGCGCAGAUAUCAGGAGGAACACCGAUGGCGAAGGCAGGUCUCUGGGCAUUAACUGACGCUGAGGAGCGAAAGCAUGGGGAGCGAACAGG
rnacentral:rRNA from 1 species